GAGACACCCUUGUGGGGCAAAACUUGCUUCAGCGGGGCUUUGGAGCUCACUGAGUCUGCCCCCUGAGUGUGUCCCU
rnacentral:pre_miRNA from 1 species